GAGGGCCAUUGACAGUCGUUGUAAUGUGCGUCAACGGUUGUCAAUGGCCCU
rnacentral:pre_miRNA from 1 species